UGAAUACGAGACGCUACGGCGUCGAAGCAGUCUAUGUCAUACUUCCAAGAAAAGCUCGCAAUGUCAUAAACAAAUAAUGCCUGUACCAUAACCGACACAGGUGGGUAGGUAGAGUAUACUAAGGGGCGCGAGAUAACUCUCUCUAAGGAACUCGGCAAAAUGACUCCGUAACUUCGGGAGAAGGAGUGCCUUAUUUAUAAGGUUGCAAUAACAAGAUCCAAGCAACUGUUUAUCAAAAACACAGGUCUCCGCUAAGUCGUAAGACGAUGUAUGGGGGCUGACGCCUGCCCAGUGCCAGAAGGUUAAAGAAGUUGGUUAGCAUUCGCGAAGCUGAUAACUGAAGCCCUGGUGAACGGCGGCCGUAACAAUAACGGUCCUAAGGUAGCGAAAUUCCUUGUCGGGUAAGUUCCGACCCGCACGAAAGGCGUAAUGAUUUGGAUACUGUCUCGGAGAGGGGCUCGGUGAAAUAGACUUGUCUGUGAAGAUGCGGACUACCUGCACCUGGACAGAAAGACCCUAUGAAGCUUUACUGUAACUUGAAAUUGAAAUUGGACUUUAUUUGCGCAGCAUAGGUGGGAGGCGUUGAGAGUAUUCUUGCGGGAAUAUUGGAGCCAUCAGUGAGAUACCACUCUUGUAAUGUUAGAUUUCUAACUUUGGAUCAUUAUCUGGUCAAAGAACAGUUUCAGGCGGGCAGUUUGACUGGGGCGGUCGCCUCCCAAAUGGUAACGGAGGCGUACAAAGGUUUCCUCUGAACGGGUAGAAAUCGUAUCUAGAGUGUAAAGGCAUAAGGAAGCUUGACUGUGAGACCUACAAGUCGAGCAGGGACGAAAGUCGGUCUUAGUGAUCUGACGGUGCUGAGUGGAAAGGCCGUCACUCAACGGAUAAAAGUUACUCUAAGGAUAACAGGCUGAUCUCCCCCAAGAGUUCACAUCGACGGGGAGGUUUGGCACCUCGAUGUCGGCUCAUCGCGUCCUGGGGCGGUAGUACGUCCCAAGGGUUGGGCUGUUCGCCCAUGAAAGCGGUACGCGAGCUGGGUUCAGAACGUCGUGAGACAGUUCGGUCCAUAUCCGGUGUAGGCGUUAGAAUAUUGAGAGGAGCCUUCUUUAGUACGAGAGGACCGAGAAGGACAUACCUCUGGUGUACCAGUUAUCGUGCCAACGGUAAACGCUGGGUAGCUAUGUAUGGAGAGGAUAACCGCUGAAAGCAUCUAAGUGGGAAGCCCACCUCAAGAUAAGUAUUCUC
rnacentral:rRNA from 1 species